GAACCGCAGAUCAAAACGAAGCACCGCACAAGGAACACCCACGGGCAAACGAGCAGCGAGACGGAACGGAGAAGGGAGGGAGCGCAGGCGUAUUAUGCCGGCACGGACAUUAAUCGCACACCCUGCCCGCUAGCGAUACAGCCUAACCACGAGCCCGCGAGCGCGUAGGCAUAAUUUAGGGCGUCCACCACCGCAAUGCCAGGGUCAGCUCAUGGCGCGACCAAGCAGGAAGCGUGGCGCGGUGCGUAGAAGCCACGAUGGACGAGCGAAACAGGCACAGUGGACUCAUUUGCGGAAAGAUGUGGGGUAGCCAACUGGGCAUGGCCUUGGUUAUCCUUCCUGCCUUGGUUUCUUCUUCACCUCUCUCUUAGCGGAAGACCUGGAUGUAAAAAGGCUUCGGCUGUCACCGUCAGCAGUGGACACUCACCGACUGCGCUCGAAGUUCGACACGCGUGAAGGCGGCCUACUAUGCAUAUAGACAAGCUGCAAACGAUGUGGGUCCGAAAACCGAGACUCACUGAGAAAGGAAAGAAAAAGUGAUUUGUGGUCACACGGUUAAAAAUUUCUACUCGGACAUUAAACUUUUACGUGUAAAAACGAGAAGCAAGCAAUGUUCUAGCAGGAAAUCGAAUUAAAAGAAAAAAUGCAGUUAACUGAAAAUAGCUGUAGUAAACGCAAAUUUUGUCCAGUUUGAGCGCAAGCAAAGUGAUGGUCGACAGCUUGUAGAAGAGUGGCCUUACGCACAGGACCUUUAAAGACGUCGUUUUCCCCAGAGGGCCCGUAGCAAUCAAGAAGAGAGUGUGAAGACUACUGAUUGCCUUCCUGCGAGACACGGGACCCAUCGACACCUAGUGACACACCCCUGAUCUCAACUCAUAGCAGGCUCAGGCGGAACAAUUGCUGGCUAUGUAUGCCAGGCUAACCCCGCCUGCUGCAACAUCACCACCACCACCGUAAGCCAUUUGACGCUAUAUUUAAGAUGACGGUCGCCACUGAGAACUAACCCGACAAGUACAGAUACACGCUUCCCCAUUACGUGUAGCUACCGUGACUGUCCUCGCUACAAUUUACAGAUACGAUCGCUCGCAAGCGCGAUAGCACGCUUGGACCAACGAUCGUUAACAGAAGAAACCAUUUUAGAAUGCCGACAUCACAAGACAUCGCAGCGGAGGGCGACGAGAGCUCUGUUGCAGUAUUUAAAGACUACAGAAUUGGGGACAAGCGGCUGUAGCCUGAACUGAUGUUUACAGUGCUACAAGUGCUACUGUGCUGUGCAGUGACUGUAUGCGGUGACAGUGGCCGACUGUGAUUGUGUGUCUGCGCUCCCUUUCUUUCUCUAUCUCUACUUUCCUGUCACUUUACCCCCUC